GACGAACGCUGGCGGCGUGGAUUAGGCAUGCAAGUCGGACGGUAGGGCUUUAUCGUAAGAUAGAGUUUGAGAGUGGCGAACGGGUGAGUAACACGUAGGAAUCUACCCUUAAGACGGAGACAACCCAGGGAAACUUGGGCUAAUACCGGAUGAGAGUGCGAGAGAUUGCAUUUAAAAGGAUGGCGAAAGUUGUCGCUUAGGGAUGAGCCUGCGGUCUAUUAGUUAGUUGGUGAGGUAAGAGCUCACCAAGGCGAUGAUAGAUAGGCGGCCUUAACGGGUGGUCGCCCACACUGGGAUUGAGAUACGGCCCAGACUCCUACGGGAGGCAGCAGUCGAGAAUAGUCUACAAUGCCGAAGCUGAUAUGCGACGCCGCGUGAACGAGAGCCCUUCGGGGUGUAAGUCUUUUCUAUACGAGCAGUGCUAUAUAUAUGAUAGUAUAUAUAGAGGGAUAGUAGUAUAGGAUAGCACGGCUACUCGUGCAGCAGCCGCGGUAACACGGGGGUGCGAGCGUGUCCGGAAUUACUAGGCGUAAAGGGCAGGUAGGCGGAUCUACGAGUUUUUUGUUAAAGGCUACGGCUCAACUGUAGUAGAGCAGGAGAUACUGUAGGUCUGGAAUGCGGUAGGGGAAGACAGAAUUCCUGGUGUAGCGGUGGAAUGCGCAGAGAUCAGGAGGAAUACCGAAGGCGAAGGCAGUCUUCUAGGCCGUAAUUGACGCUUAACUGCGAAGGUGUGGGGAUCAAACAGGAUUAGAUACCCUGGUAGUCCACACAGUAAACGAUAAUCACUAGAUGUCGGGUUCUAGAUGGAUUCGGUGUCGGAGCCAACGCGAUAAGUGAUUCGCCUGGGGAGUACGAUCGCAAGGUUGAAACUCAAAGGAAUUGACGGGGGCCCGCACAAGCGGUGGAGCAUGUGGUUUAAUUCGAGGCAACGCGAAGAACCUUACCCGGUUUUGACAUCCACGGGAGGCUUCAGAGAUGGAGCUGUGCCGCGUAAGCUGGAGCCGUGAGACAGUGCUGCAUGCUGUCGUCAGCUCGUGUCGUGAGAUGUUGGGAAGUCCCGCACGAGCGCAACCCUGUUCAGUACAUCAUUAGGUGGGGACUCUGAGGACCGCUGCGGUAACAACGCAGAGGAAUGGGGACGACGUCAAGUCAUCAUGGUCCUUAUGGCCGGGGCUACACACGUGCUACAAUGGCAGUUACAGAGGGAUGCGAUUCAGUAAUGAGGAGCGAAACUCAGAAAAGCUGCCGCAGUUCGGAUUGAGGUCUGCAACUCGGCCUCAUGAAGUCGGAAUCGCUAGUAAUCGCGCAACAUCAUGGCGCGGUGAAUACGUUCCCGGGCCUUGUACACACCGCCCGUCAAGUCAGCCGAGUGGAGUGCACCCGAAGGAGGUGAGCUAACCCGCAAGGGAGGCAGCUUUCGAAGGUGUGCUUCGCGAGGAGGACU
rnacentral:rRNA from 1 species